AUAAGUCCAAGCACUGGUCAUCGCUGCUGACUAUGAAGAUCGAAGGCUAGUGGAUCCAACUUAGAUUUGUCUCUGGGUGCUUUUGUUGUGGGGAUUUUUGUUUCAUUUUUGUUCCCCCGUUGUCUUUUAUUCUCAAACGAGUCUGUUCAAUGCUUGAUUUUGUUGUGGGGAUUUGUCUCUAUUUGCUGUUGGGUGGUCUGUUUAGUUUCUUCUUUGUGGUGG
rnacentral:lncRNA from 1 species